rnacentral:rRNA from 1 species
GCACAAGCAGUGGAGUAUGUGGUUUAAUUCGAAGCAACGCGAAGAACCUUACCAGGUCUUGACAUCCCUUGACAGACAUAGAAAUAUGUAAUCUCUUCGGAGCAAGGAGACAGGUGGUGCAUGGUUGUCGUCAGCUCGUGUCGUGAGAUGUUGGGUUAAGUCCCGCAACGAGCGCAACCCUUGCUAUUAGUUGCUACGCAAGAGCACUCUAAUAGGACUGCCGUUGACAAAA